AAAUAUAAAAAUAAAAAUAUAUAGUAUUACAUAAAAUAAAGCAAUUUCAACAAAUAUUAAUAUUAAUGGCAACGUUCUAAAAUGUCCGCGUUGUUAAUUUGCGAGGAUUAUAUUCCGGUAUAAAACGUUGUCCGCACGUCUGUUUGAAUCGGUUUGUCUGACAGAAAAUUGCAGCGGUGUGGACUCGAGAAUCGAUUGUAUAGCAGACGAUAAUUCCCUUCCCCUUCUUUUCUCCAACCUUAUGGUAAAUAUACACUUCAAAGUAAUGCGUAUUCAAU